rnacentral:lncRNA from 1 species
AAGGGUGUGAGAGUCCAUGAGAUUCAGGUUUCACUGGUAGAUGGAGCAGAGACCUUGGAGUUUAGUUACUUUACACAUCAUGUGAUUCACUCGAAUGUUUUACAAAUAUCUAUCUCUUGCUUACAAAGUUUUCCAAGAAAUAAGAUCGUGCUUCAUUUAGGGAGCUGUGAUUAGCUGAAUUUCUCUAAGUGACUUUCAGCAGUCAAUGAGAACAACUCUAUUCUGUCCCAGGAAGAUCAUCCAGCUUGGCUUUUGGAGAUGUCCCAGAGCUAGAGAAAAAAAUUUUUUUUUCCUGUGCUCUGAUUUUUCUUCAGAUUAUCUAUCUAUCUAUCUAUCUAUCUAUCUAUCUAUCUAUAUAUAUAUAUAUAUAUGUAUAUAUAUAUAUAUUUUUUUUUUUGCAGAAUGUAGUCUUGCAGUCAUCCCUAUAACCUCAUAAAGGUUAAAAUUAAACCUCAAGCUUUUGCAUUGAGGGGGUGAGAUAUACUUUUGAGUAUAUUUCUUCUUUACUAUUUUUCAUCGUCCUCACCACUGUCUUUCCACAUGUUGGAAAGUGUUAACUUGUUAGUAUGCAUGUGUUUGAGACCCUACAGAGGAGGACAAAACAGAAGAAAACAGAUGGACUAAGACAACGUGACCCACAGUGAGGAGGAUGCAGAAUGCAUCAGGAUGGGAGCGAAGGGCCGGAGUGGAAGAGCACUCAAGGCUAGCCAGAGAUGAUUGGCAGUCCUCCCUUGCCGGUGCCUCUGGGCCUGCACCUUCACCUUCCUCAACCAGUUGCCCCUCGUUUGCAUCUGUGGAUGCACAGGCCUCUAGGAAAGCUGCACCUAUCCCCAGUUCAAGUAUCAGAAGGAGAGACCCAGGUCAAUCCAGUCCCCGCAUUCCAUCUCUUGGACUCACUGAUUGAGUCCAGGGUGGACACACAGACCUAAGUGUGCUGAC